UUUGUUUAAGUGUUUUAUUUUAUACUGCGAGUCUUACUCCUCAUUUUUUCUUCAACACAAGAUAUAGGAUCAAAAGAUUCAAAAGAUUUCGUGACUAUCAUCCAGAUUACAAAGUGAAAGAAGUGAACUGAGUACGCUCCUUGAGACAAAACGAGUGACUUUCAGUAAAGUCACUCGAGAGAAAAAACAAACUCGUUGUUUGCUAUUCACACUGAAGGAAGCAUUUGGAAUAUUCAAGAAUGACAAUGCUGGUGUGUCUGUGAAAUUUUCAAAAUUUGCUUCCAGCAGACCAUUUUAUGUAAAGCUCCAAAGAAAUAUUCCAGAAAAUGUAUGCGUGUGUGUUAUACAUGCGAUUUUUCAGUUUAUGAUCAACUCACUCGCGACUAUAAUUUGUCAACCCAUACAUCAAACUUUUGUUUGCAAUCCAUCCCGCGAAGAGAGUAUGUUUUUUUUGUUUUUGAACAUUGUGGCAAUCUUCAAUAUGAGAAGUUUACUGAAUGCUGGUUGGAACUGGUGGAUGGUACAGAUGAAGUGAUUUUUGAACAGUGGAGUGGUGGGUUUAAUGAAGUUAUAACAAUGUUCUUUACUGAAUUCAUGCAACAAUUUUUACUAAUUUGCCAGCUUUUUUGAGACACUACUUUGUUAAGCAAACUCAAAGUGCCCAUUUUUAAUUUACCCGCAUUACACUUACCCUCCAACUGAUGACAUUGGAGUGUAUUAUCUUGAGGAAAUUGUUUGCGUAAUGCCAAAAUUGUUGUAUCUAUCCUCCUAAAAUUGUUGGAUCUAUCCGUCACUUCCCAAAAGAACACCAUGUCAACUAUUUAAGUAGCUUAAGAUGAGUGUCUUCGUAUACCUUUCUGUUGAACAUUGUAUAAACUCAUUUUUGGACAAAUAUAUGUACUCAGUUUUGUUAUAAAUACAGAAUAUCUGAAGCAACGAAUGGUUUUGUCUGACCGUAACAUGCAUAUCUUUUGAUUUAGCUAAGAAAAUUUAUGCAUAAUAUAUGUCUGGAUACCAAAAACUUUAUGUUAUUUUAAUAUUUUGACCUAUGCUUUAAGAAUAACUUGAUUUAUAAUGUUUGGCAUUAAUAGUUUCAGAGAAUAUUAAAAGAGUACACGC